rnacentral:rRNA from 1 species
UACGAAGGGGGCUAGCGUUGCUCGGAAUCACUGGGCGUAAAGCGCACGUAGGCGGAUUGUUAAGUCAGGGGUGAAAUCCUGGAGCUCAACUCCAGAACUGCCUUUGAUACUGGCGAUCUCGAGUCCGGGAGAGGUGAGUGGAACUGCGAGUGUAGAGGUGAAAUUCGUAGAUAUUCGCAAGAACACCAGUGGCGAAGGCGGCUCACUGGCCCGGUACUGACGCUGAGGCGCGAAAGCGUGGGGAGCAAACGGG